UACAGAGGUCCCAAGCGUUGUUCGGAUUCACUGGGCGUAAAGGGUGCGUAGGUGGUCGGGUAAGUCUGAUGUGAAAUCUCUGGGCUCAACCCAGAAAUGGCAUUGGAUACUAUUCGGCUAGAGGAGUGGAGGGGGGACUGGAAUACUUGGUGUAGCAGUGAAAUGCGUAGAUAUCAAGUGGAACACCAGUGGCGAAGGCGAGUCCCUGGACACUUCCUGACACUGAGGCACGAAAGCUAGGGGGAGCAAACAGG
rnacentral:rRNA from 1 species